rnacentral:rRNA from 1 species
ACGCUGGCGGCGUGCCUAAUACAUGCAAGUAGAACGCUGAAGGAGGAGCUUGCUUCUCUGGAUGAGUUGCGAACGGGUGAGUAACGCGUAGGUAACCUGCCUGGUAGCGGGGGAUAACUAUUGGAAACGAUAGCUAAUACCGCAUAACAGUAGAUGUUGCAUGACAUUUGCUUAAAAGGUGCAAUUGCAUCACUACCAGAUGGACCUGCGUUGUAUUAGCUAGUUGGUGGGGUAACGGCUCACCAAGGCGACGAUACAUAGCCGACCUGAGAGGGUGAUCGGCCACACUGGGACUGAGACACGGUCCAGACUCCUACGGGAGGCAGCAGUAGGGAAUCUUCGGCAAUGGACGGAAGUCUGACCGAGCAACGCCGCGUGAGUGAAGAAGGUUUUCGGAUCGUAAAGCUCUGUUGUAAGAGAAGAACAGGUGUGAGAGUGGAAAGUUCACACUGUGACGGUAUCUUACCAGAAAGGGACGGCUAACUACGUGCCAGCAGCCGCGGUAAUACGUAGGUCCCGAGCGUUGUCCGGAUUUAUUGGGCGUAAAGCGAGCGCAGGCGGUUAGAUAAGUCUGAAGUUAAAGGCUGUGGCUUAACCAUAGUACGCUUUGGAAACUGUUUAACUUGAGUGCAAGAGGGGAGAGUGGAAUUCCAUGUGUAGCGGUGAAAUGCGUAGAUAUAUGGAGGAACACCGGUGGCGAAAGCGGCUCUCUGGCUUGUAACUGACGCUGAGGCUCGAAAGCGUGGGGAGCAAACAGGAUUAGAUACCCCUGGUAGUCCACGCCGUAAACGAUGAGUGCUAGGUGUUAGACCCUUUCCGGGGUUUAGUGCCGCAGCUAACGCAUUAAGCACUCCGCCUGGGGAGUACGACCGCAAGGUUGAAACUCAAAGGAAUUGAC